CCUACGGGAUGCAGCAGUGGGGAAUAUUGCACAAUGGGGGAAACCCUGAUGCAGCGACGCCGCGUGAGUGAAGAAGUAUUUCGGUAUGUAAAGCUCUAUCAGCAGGAACGAGACAAGACGGUACCUGACUAAGAAGCCCCGGCUAACUACGUGCCAGCAGCCGCGGUAAUACGUAGGGGGCAAGCGUUAUCCGGAAUCACUGGGUGGAAAGGGAGCGUAGACGGCUGUGCAAGCCUGAAGUGAAAGGCGGGGGCUCAACCCCUGGACUGCUUUGGGAACUGUACGGCUGGAGUGAUGGAGAGGUAAGGGGAAUUCCUAGUGUAGCGGUGAAAUGCGUAGAUAUUAGGAGGAACACCAGUGGCGAAGGCGGCUUACUGGACUGUAACUGACGUUGAGGCGCGAAAGCGUGGGGAGCAAACAGGAUUAGAUACCCGAGUAGUC
rnacentral:rRNA from 1 species